GUUAUUUUCCAAAAUGGAAUACAGUGUACAAUAUUGACUCCAAAGGUUACCAAUCCCUUAGCUGCUAUAGUAUUAAGAAGCUAUUCGAUGAGGCUUUUGGUGCUUAUGUCGACAAAAAAGGUCGCCAUAACAAGAAUUUUGGUCGCACAGUUAUAUGGAAACAUUUUCAGGCACACAUACAACCACCUGGCAGUAUGCUUUGCGGACAAUAUGUGAUGUACCACAUGUUAUCCUUUGUGGAUAAUCUUAGUUUGGACCGUGAUCGAUAUCCUCAGGAUGUUUUUAUAGUCUGAAUUCUAUUUUACUCAAACCUAUGCAAUAUGACGUUAUAAUUAUUUACAUGGUUUAUGUUUUUCAAGGGUCGUGCUGGUUUUGCAACCUGUCCAUUAUUGCCUGAUGAGAUAGAAAAUGUCCGAGAACGGUUGCUCGACUUCUUCAUGAAUGAGGUGAUAGACAUUGGUGGAUCAUGCAGGGUUGACGGUGCUUCAUAUAACUAAAUCUAGCAUGGCUUCCUAG